CAGCAGCCGCGGUAAAACGAGGGGGGCAAGCGUUGUUCGGAAUUAUUGGGCGUAAAGGGUGCGUAGGCGGUUUGACAAGUCUUAUGUGAAAUCUCUGGGCUCAACCCAGAGUCUGCAUGGGAAACUGUCGGGCUUGAGUAUGGGAGAGGUGAGUGGAAUCUCCGGUGUAGCGGUGAAAUGCGUAGAUAUCGGAAGGAACACCUGUGGCGAAAGCGGCUCACUGGACCAUAACUGACGCUGAGGCACGAAAGCUAGGGGAGCAAACAGGAUUAGAUACCCCCGUAGUCCCUGUCUCUUAUAC
rnacentral:rRNA from 1 species